rnacentral:rRNA from 1 species
AGAGAGAGACAUGCGCGCAUAUCAAUAAGCGGAGGAAAAGAAACUAACUAGGAUUCCCUCAGUAACGGCGAGUGAAGCGGGAAGAGCUCAAAUUUGAAAUCUUCAAGGUUCUACCUUGACGAAUUGUAGUUUAAAGAAGUGUUUUCUGUUGGAGUUUUGGUAAAAGUUCUUUGGAAUAGGACAUCAUAGAGGGUGAGAAUCCCGUAUUUGACCAUUAUUUCCAGCUUUGUGAUACACUUUCAAAGAGUCGGAUUGUUUGGGAAUGCAGUCCAAAAUGGGUGGUAAAUUUCAUCUAAAGCUAAAUAUCGGCGAGAGACCGAUAGCGAACAAGUACCGUGAGGGAAAGAUGAAAAGAACUUUGAAAAGAGAGUUAAACAGUACGUGAAAUUGUCAAAAGGGAAGCGUUUGACACCAGUGUUGUUUUCUCGAAAAUCAAUUAAAAAAGGCAGGAUUUUGUGUUGUAUUGACUUUAUCAGCUUUCUGCACUCUUUUCUUGUCUUUUUUAAUGCACUUUUCGUUUAACAAGUCAACAUCAAUUUCUUUUGUUGUAAAAGGGUCAUUGGAAGGUGGCUUUCUUUUCGGAGAAAGUGUUUAUAGCCUUUGGCCUCUGCAAUCGGAGAGAUUGAGGUCUGCAGCGUAGAUCCUUCGGGGUUAGAUACAUUUGUGCUAAGUUAUAGCCUUUCAUAGACAACUUGUUGACUAUGAUCAGUCAUGUAGCUUACUCGCUUAUGCUAUUUUACCUACGCUUAGGAUGUUGAUGUGAUACUGCGAGCA